AUUCCUUCCCCAUUUUCCAACACACACGCCCUCGACUCCCAAACUUUAUGUAAAAGCUCUCUAGACAAUAACUGGUGUGGACAAUUACUUGGGGGAGAAGAUGUCAUGUUCACCAUGGAGGAGAUGCUGUGUGUUCAGUCUUUUAGAUAACAGACCACUGGAUUUGGAGCCUUUUCCACUUGCAGUUUCCGCCCAGCUUACUACCAAGAACGGGCUGGAGGGCUGAAUGGCAGUGUGCGAUAUACAAGCUACAGGACCGGGUCCCCGGAGCUCAGAUUGAGGGCCCGGUGUGACUGUGACACAGGACAACUGGCCGGCUGUCCCGAGUUAGGAAGUGCAGGACUCAGGCGUGGCUCCCUUAAGGCAGGCAGGCAUAUUAUAUGCUGGCACGGUGCUGUACUGGGCUGCUCAGCUAUUGUGUCUUCCCACAAGUAAAAGCUGCCACGAGGUCAAUGGGACUCCUCUGCCACAUGCCCCUCCCAUGAUGCACUGUGCCACCAGGGGCCCAGUGCAACAGGACCAGGUGACCAUGGAUGAAACAUCCAGACCUUUCUUCCUUUUAACUUGACUCAUCUCAGGCUGCAUUUUGCUCAGACUCUCCUGGAAAGUGAUUUGUGAACACUGCAGGGACUUCUUCAUCUCUGAGUGGAUGUUCAGAAACCACCUGGGAAGAAUGCAGAUGCUCACACACCUGCCCAUGGUAGCAGCAGACUACACGGGGGCUUCUAACACCUGAACACGACCACAGGUCACACAGGGAUCCUGUACGUCCUAGCUUGAUACUAUACGAUGGAUAACUGUACCUAAAUGUCGUAUUGUCGCCCACAAAUAUGUACAAUUUCUGAGUGUCCCUCAAAAAUAAAAAUGGAACAAGAGGAAGAAAAUGUCUCAGCAGGUCUAGGAUCCUGCCUGAGAUUCUGCACCUUUAACAGGCUUGCAGGAGCCGCUGCCUGGUGGGAUGCACUUUGAGUGGCAAGGUCCUAUGAUGUCAUCUUUCGAGAUGUUGCCGGGCUCUAAUGUGGCAGGAGUAUCGGAGGGGACAUGAGACCAACUACAUCUGAGACUCAUAACGCAACUUCUCUGAACUCUGGCGUCCUCCUUUAUAAAGUGAAAUACACAAAUUUACAGAGCUGCCAUGAAACUAGUCAAUGUUCCAAAUAAAAACAAGUUCAAUGGAUAGGUUCAUGUAGAAGUUUUUUGUUUUUUUGUUUUUUGAAAUUGGGUCUUGCUAACAAGUUACACGUACACCAUGUUUCAUCUUUAUCAUCUUGCAGUGUUUCUUUGGAACAUUUGGGUGGAAAAGCACAUGGAUGUCACAUUCUUCCUGAUGUGGAGCUUCACUCGGUUUGAGGAUCCCUUCAUUCAUGUCUCUCAAUCUCCAAGCUGCAAUUCUGUUGAAGUCUACUUAUCCACUUCUUGGAACUGCUUUUUAAUGUGACACAAAACCAUUAUAAUUACCACUGGGAAGUAAAGAGAUGGUGCAAUUCAGCCCAAGUGGAAGACAGAACACAAGGGCAUACAUAAUUUUCAUGUUUUAGGUUGAAGGUUCUAAUCCUUUUGCUCAUUUAAUUCCUGAAUUGGGAAGUAUUAUACAAAGACUUCAUUUUUAAAGCCUAAAGCAAAGCUUAGUUUAGCAGCCAAGUAUGGAUAAGAAAGGAGUGAAAAGGUGAUAAUAUGAGUCCAUGGUCUUUAGCAUUUUUCAGAAAGUAUGUCUGAAUUAAUGCUGAUAGGCCCCUUGUAAGUUGUCAUGUUUCCUAGAAGUAUCCAUGAAUGUUAGCAGAGUUAGCAGAGAUACCACAAAAUCUAAAUAGGGAAAAUCUUCUAUUCUUGGGAGAGGCCAAAAGCAUUCAGAGAAAAGAAGCAUGUAUAGGAAAUGCUGAUUCCCUUGAAAGAGUGGUCCAGAGCCACUCACGCCUAAUGGGCUGUGGCUUUGGGGACCGUUUUACUGCAGUAAGAGGGUAGAUGAAGAUUGUUGGUAGCCAAGUGUGGUGGUGAAUGCCUGUAAUCCCACCUAUUUGGGAAGUUGAGGCAGGAGGAUUGUGAAUUUGAGGCCAGCCUGGGCAACUUGGCAAGACCCUGUCUCAAAAUAAAAAUAAGGGCUGAGGAUGUAGCUCAGUGGAAAGACUUUGGAUCAAUGUCUCUGUUGUCUCUAUUUUUUGUUUUUUAUUAUUUUUCUAUUAUUUUGGUCCUAAGUUCAAUUUUCCUAAGAAUUAGUAAAUAGCCAGUUGUAAUGGCAUGCUCGACUUUUCCUUUUACCUAAAUUUAGCAUGAGUGCGUGUACAAAGAGAUUUAUUUAUUUUCUACAAGAACAAAACUUACCAACAGUUACUUGUGAAUAUCAUGAAACAAACUUUACCAAGUGGACUACAGAACAUGGACACACAAUUUGGAAUUGAAAAAUCUCCACUUAUCAAGCCAAAUUUUGUAUUCUCUCUGUUAACAUUAUCUGAUUUGGUUCUGUAUUCUGUUCAGGAAAUAUCUUCUUAAUCUUCAUACCUUAGGAGGAUAUUUUAAAAAAAGAAUUUUAGAAAAUCUUAAAAGUUACUGGAUGGUGAGAUAACAGCAACUUCUUUAACAAGAACAAAGCUACUAUAAUAAAAGCCAUCAGGUUUGAAAUAUUUAUGAAAAUGUUUAAUCAACUGUUUCUUUGGAAUGUAGUAGUCAUAGUUUGGAAUUUAAGUUACAGUUCAGUUCUAUGUGGUUUUUAUGCUACUCAGAGUCUGAGAAUACAAAUGUCAUUUAAAGUUAAGGCUUCGCUGUUCAUUCUGAAACAACAAUUUACAAGUGUCAUAUUGUCAUAGAAAAUAAAAAUUUCUGUAAAAAAAAUUUGCACAAAAUUUUAUGAUGGUACAAAACAUGAAGCAAUAACAUACCAGUAAAAUGAAAACAUUUUACUACAGAAAGUUUUAUAGAUUUCAAUAAAG
ensembl:lncRNA